rnacentral:rRNA from 1 species
UACGGAGGAUCCGAGCGUUAUCCGGAUUUAUUGGGUUUAAAGGGUGCGUAGGUGGCCUGUUAAGUCAGGGGUGAAAGCCGGUAGCUCAACUAUCGCAGUGCCCUUGAUACUGAUGGGCUUGAAUGAACUAGAGGUAGGCGGAAUGUGACAAGUAGCGGUGAAAUGCAUAGAUAUGUCACAGAACACCAAUUGCGAAGGCAGCUUACUAUGGUUUUAUUGACACUGAGGCACGAAAGCGUGGGGAUCAAACAGG